GACGAACGCUGGCGGCGUGUUUAACACAUGCAAGUCGAGCGGAAAGGCCACUUCGGUGGUACUCGAGCGGCGAACGGGUGAGUAACACGUGAGUAAUCUGCCCCUCACUUUGGGAUAGCCCCGGGAAACUGGGAUUAAUACCGGAUAUGAUCACCGGCCGCAUGGUCUGGUGGUGGAAAGUUUUUCGGUGGGGGAUGUGCUCGCGGCCUAUCAGCUUGUUGGUGGGGUAAUGGCCUACCAAGGCUUCGACGGGUAGCCGGCCUGAGAGGGUGGCCGGGCACACUGGGACUGAGACACGGCCCAGACUCCUACGGGAGGCAGCGGUGGGGAAUAUUGGACAAGGGGCGGAAGCCUGAUCCAGCAACGCCGCGUGAGGGAUGACGGCCUUCGGGUUGUAAACCUCUUUCAGCGGGGACGAAGCGCGAGUGACGGUACCCGCAGAAGAAGCACCGGCCAACUACGUGCCAGCAGCCGCCGUAAUAC
rnacentral:rRNA from 1 species